GUCUACGGCCAUGCCACCCUGAACACGCCCGAUCCCGUCUGAUCUCGGAAGCUAAGCAGGGUCGGGCCUGGUUAGUACUUGGAUGGGAGACCACCCAGGAAGACCAGGUGCUGUAGGCG
rnacentral:rRNA from 1 species